AAACCAGAGAGAGGGAGAGAGAGAGGGGUUGAGAACCAAAACAGUGUCGUCGAUAAAUUCAGUGGAGUUCCGAUUUCCGAACCUCUCGCUCCUCCGGACCUCUGCCGUUGAUGGUGGUGCGUGGUGGAGCUGCGUUGAAUGGGGCGCAGCCGCGAACCGGAAUGCCCGCCGGAAAAGGAGCAACCAUCGCUUCAGCCGCUCUCCAGCGUCAAGCUCUGGGAUGCUCCGAUUCUGUUGCUCGUUUACUUCCACAAAGCGUUUCGGGCGGAGCUCGCCGACCUCCACAGGAUGGCCCUGGCGGCGUUAGAGAGGGGCUCCGGCAGCCGCGACCUGAUCCUCGACCUCCGUGGGAGGUUUGAGUUCUUCAAGUUAGUGUACAAGUAUCAUACUGCUGCAGAGGAUCAGCUAAUCUUUCUAGCCCUUGAUUUCCAAGUAAAAAACGUGGUUUGUACAUACAGUCUUGAGCAUAAAGGCAUAGAUGACCUUUUCGAUCCUGUUUCUGAUUGCCUGAAUGUUUUAACUGGGAGAGAAGGAAACACUUCAAAGCAAUUUCAAGAACUUGUAUUUUGUAUUAGCACCAUUCAGACUUCAAUUUGCCAGCAUAUGCUGAAAGAAGAAAAGCAGGUUUUACCUUUGCUGAUGCAGCAAUUCUCUUCCGAAGAACAAGCUCUACUUAUCUGGAGGCUUUUGUGCUGUGUUCCUAUAUUGCUGAUGCAGGAGUUUUUGCCAUGGUUGACUUCGUUCCUUUCCCUAGAUGAACAAGAGGAGAUUCUGCAUUGUAUCAGGGAAGUCAUUCCUAGGGAAAGGCUACUGCAAGAGGUUGUGCUUUCGUGGCUUCAUAACAAGAAUCCAUCUUCAGCAGUGGUCAAAAAUGAAAUUGAAAAAGGAGCUCAGAUUACUGAUUUCCAAGCAAGUACAAAGAAUGUGUUUGAGGUGCAUGCAUCAAUGACCUUUCAUGGAGAAAAAUGGUGGGAAGAGAAAGCAUCUUGCAAGACAAUUUUUAGGCACACUCCAAUUCAUGGUCUUCAUCUUUGGCAUGGUGCUCUCAGAAAAGAUCUCAAAGGAAUUUUGAAGGAACUGUAUCAAAUAAGAAGCUCAAACAGCUUUCUAACUCUAGAUUCUGCAAUUAUCCAGCUAAAAUUUCUCAUGGAUGUCGUUAUCUACUAUAGCAUUGCAUUGGAUAAAGUUUUUGACCCUGUAGUGAAUGAAUUUGCCGAUGGCUUCUCAUUUCAUUUCAAGGGUAGAGUUAAAAAUGAAAAUCAACUUGAAGGUUUACAGAGGUUGCUAUAUGAUAAGGUUCAAGAUGAGAAGAUGCCUCUGUGCAAUUUUGUGGAGGAACUUUGCAGGGAAUUGGAAUUAUAUGUGAUUGGAAUCAGCGAACACUUGGUUUUGCUAGAAACAGAGGUAUUCCCAUUGAUUAUCAACUUCACUCAUGAAUUUCAGAAGUGGCUACUAUACCAAAGUGUUUAUAUUAUGCCACUUGGGCUGCUGAAGUACACAAUUAGUUGGUUCUCUGCCCAUUUAUCCGAGGAAGAUUGCAACUCCAUCCUGAAUAGCUUAAAGCAGAGAAGUCCUCUAGACAACACUGGAGCCUUUUCAGUUCUCUUGUAUGAGUGGGUACGCAUGGGUUAUUCAGGAAAAACCUCGAUUGACAAAUUUAGAAAAGACUUACAGGAGAUGUACAAGAGCAGAAGCUCUUUCCUGAUUGAGCUUGUCCAAGAGGACUAUGCUUUUUGUUCCUUAAUUCUAAAAACCAGGCCUUGCAACAAAUUUAACCCCAUUUCAAAACAACCACAUAUGUCUACCAAAUCCAAGGGAUGUAGACCUAAUCAUUCAUCUUCUGAUGGUAGCACUACUCAAAAGUAUGGCAUAUCAUGUACUGGUAGGAUCAGUAUAUGUAUAUUCUCCCCUAAAUCAAUAAGGACUUUAUCUCCUUUUCCAAAAUUUCCUACUGAGAAUAGUGAAGCUAGUUCCAUGCUCAAUCUUGAACCGAGACCAGUGGAUCACAUCUUUUACUUCCAUAAAGCUCUCAGAAAAGAUUUGGAGUAUCUUGUCAAUGUUUCAGCAAAGCUGGGUGAAAAUGUUGGAGACCUAGUGGAUUUCCAUAGACGAUUCAAACUUGUACAAUUUCUAUAUCAAGUUCAUAGUGAUACAGAGGAUGAGAUAGCUUUUCCAGCUCUGGAGGCAAAGGGACAGGCCAGAAACAUUAGCCAAUCCUAUACUAUUGACCACAAACUGGAAGCUGACCUCUUCAACAAGAUUUCUCUUACCCUGGAUGAGAUUUCUGGGUUACAUGUUUCAGAUUAUAGUGUUGACAUGGAUGUAUUGGAUCAAUAUCAUCGGCUAUGUUUGAAGCUCCAUGAUCAGUGCAAGUCUAUGUGUAAGGUCCUAACCAGCCAUGUCAACCGUGAAGAAAUUGAGCUUUGGUCGUUAUUUAGAGAAUGCUUCUCUAUUGAGGAACAAGAAAAGAUCAUAGGAAGCAUACUUGGAAGAACAAGAGCUGAAACCCUACAAGAAAUGAUUCCCUGGCUCAUGGCAUCUUUGACACCAGAAGAACAACAGGUCAUGAUGUCCUUGUGGCAUAAGGCUACCAAGAAUACGAUGUUUCGUGAAUGGUUACAGGAAUGGUGGGAAGGCAUGAAAAGGUAUGAUAUAGCUAAGGUGGAACAUGAAUCUAAUAUUUCUCCUUCUUGGACUGCUGACCCACUACAAUUUCUCUCAAAUUAUCUGUCAAGUGAAGGCUUUGGCAAUCAAGAUCGGACAAUACAUGAAGAAGAUGCUAAAAUUCUUCAAUAUAAUUUUGUUGAUUUGGACAUUGAUUUGUCUGGAAAACACAAUAUCGAUGACAAAGGAAAUGUCUCAAGUGGAAACCUCAAUAAUCUCCAAUUUUCAGAUUGUUCUGAAUUUUCAUGUGAGGUUGAUAAGAAGAGAUUAAAGGAAUUAGCAGGGCUCACAAAGCAACCUGAUGAACCUAUACAGAAUAUGCAGGUCAAUCAGGACUUCAGACAUCAGGAGCAACUUCCUGUGAUGAGUCAAGAAGAACUGGAGGCUGCAAUAAGAAAAAUAUCCCGCAACUCCAAUCUGGAUCCUCAAAAGAAAUCAUAUAUUAUCCAGAACCUUCUAAUGAGCCGCUGGAUUAUGACACAACAAAAACCUCAUGCAGAAGUUCCUGUCUCAAGUAAAAAGGAAGAAGUUUCAGGUCAGUGUCCAUCUUACAGGGAUCCACUUAAAUUAACAUUUGGUUGCAAACACUACAAGAGAAACUGCAAGCUAGUUGCUGCUUGUUGCAACAAGAUUUAUGCAUGCAGACUUUGCCAUGAUGAUGAGUCUGAUCACUCAAUGGAUAGGAAGGCUACUACUAAGAUGAUGUGUAUGAAAUGUUUGGUGAUUCAACCAAUAGGCCCCACCUGCUCAACUGACACUUGCGAUAAGUUAUCAAUGGCCAGAUACUACUGCAGGAUCUGCAAAUUCUUUGAUGACGAGAGGGAUAUUUACCACUGCCCGUACUGUAACCUGUGUCGAGUUGGGAAAGGAUUGGGCAUUGACUAUUUCCAUUGCAUGAAUUGCAAUGCUUGCAUGUCAAGGUCUCUUUCAGUGCAUAUAUGUAGAGAGAAGUGCUUUGAGGAUAACUGCCCAAUAUGCCACGAGUUCAUUUUCACAUCGAGCUCUCCAGUCAAGGCUCUUUCAUGUGGACAUUUGAUGCACUCAGCAUGCUUUCAGGACUAUACCUACAGUCACUAUACCUGUCCAAUAUGUAGCAAAUCACUUGGAGACAUGCAGGUGUACUUUGGUAUGAUAGAUGCACUACUGGCUGAAGAAAAAAUUCCAGAUGAGUAUUCUGGCCAGACUCAGGUAAUAUUAUGCAAUGAUUGCGAGAAGAGAGCAACUGCUCCAUUUCAUUGGCUUUAUCACAAAUGUUCUCAUUGUGGUUCAUACAACACCAGGGUUGUAUGACUGCAUGCAUAGUAUAUCCAAAUGAUAUUGAUUGCCUUCCUCCCCUGACUCGGACAAAAAUGCAGUUAGUUCACUUAGGGCAAGCAGUUCGUCGCAGUCUCUUCUUGUUCUUUCUAAGAGGGAAACUUUCGAUGCAUCCCUGCUUGUUUUCUUAUGUUGGCUAGAAUAAGGAUUGCCUUACUAUGGACUCAAUAACAGCUGGCCUCCUUUCCUUACCUGGGCUCAACCGGAAUGACAGGACAGUUACCGUACUGUGCUAAUGGAAUGCUUUCUAUCUAACAAACGGGGAAUUCUCUUUCUCGACUUACAACUUACUUUGACAUUCAGGUUACCAUACUCUUUUUUUUUCUAAACUGUUGUAAAAUAGGAAGUUCAACCGAUAGCUUGAGAUGUGCAAGCAUUGACCUAAAGGAUAUUUACCAUCCCUUUAAGGUGCAAAGGGAAUAUAGGUAUUCUCCAUUUGAGUUGGUAUUUGAGCAAAGUGGUAUAAUGCAAAGAUUCUCUUGUCCACAUAUACCACAGCAGAAUGGAGUUGCAGAAAGGAAAUACCUGUUCCAAUCUCUUAAAAGAAUCUAGUUUGGCUUCAUUAUUUCCCAGUAACUGUCCUGAAUAUUUGUAGAUGGAUGUUUUUGUCCACAAAACUCUAAUAAGUCUCCUUCUGAGGAACUAUAAGGAUCUGUCUUGGAUUGCACCUUUUUGCAGGUCUUUGGUUGUGCAUGCUAUCCGGUGCUAUUCACCUCAAAAGUUUGAUCAAGUCCAAUGCGUGUAUUUUUGGGAUACAACAGUCAGGAUAAAGGGUAUUGCUGUCUUGAUCCCUCGUCCAACAAGAAAUGUUUAAGAUGGUUCUGAUAGGAGAAGAAUGAAUGAAAUGGAAGAAGAUUAUAGCAAAAGAAGAAGAGAAAAACUAAAGAAAACUUUUGCCCUCGGUUGCUUUAGCGGUUGCCUAUAAUGCGAUCUACGGGUGUAAGGGCAUGCCAGCCCUCCUUGUUGAGAGACAUGAUCAAUCAGACCUACUUUAUUACGUGGCUGAAACUACCGAACUUUCAGAAUACCAAUCUUCCAGGAUUGGAGUAUAUAGAUGCUGAAA